AAGUCGUAACAAGGUUUCCGUAGGUGAACCUGCGGAAGGAUCAUUAUCACGUAUCCACGUAUAAACCAUUGUGAACUGUGUUAACCUUUGGAGGGAACUGUGUGGAAUGUAUUGUUUCUUAAGUGAUUUAAGCAAUCUUUCACAUGCUCUACUGUUCUCUCUGAAGUGUAUUUCUUAAAUCACUUUCAUUAACCCUUUAAACCUAUUCUUUUAAAACUCUGAACUAAUUCAUUUCUUACUCUUCGGAGAAGAAAUAUUUUACGAAACUAAAGAACAACUCUUAGCAACGGAUAUCUUGGUUCUC
rnacentral:misc_RNA from 1 species